AAAUUAAGCUAGGGGUGCCUCGUCGUUGAGGCUGAGAUAGUCCCUUAGAACCUGAGACUGGGUAAUACCAGCGUAGGGAAGCUAUUUAUCGAGGAA
rnacentral:ncRNA from 2 species